UUUUUUCAAUCAAAACUUCGACCUCCUGCUUUUCUCAUCCCGGACCAAAUCA
rnacentral:sRNA from 1 species